CACACACACACUUAUAUUACGAUAAUGUACAAGUCUCUAGUGUGAUACACCUCUACGCUUAUUUCUCUGACCAUAGUUAUCUAAGUCUGUACAUAAUGUAGGUAUACAUAUAAUUAUAAUAGAAGUUCGAAGUAUUUCAAUGGUCUAUAGCUGACUCGUCAUACAUAUAUGUGCAUCAAGAGUCCUAUAUAAUUGAUGAUUGACUAAUUGACACACAUAAGAAUUAAAAAUAUACGUCUAGUUUAUAUAUAUGAUAAUGACAACAACGACUGACGACGCUAACAAGUAGGAAGGAUUUUGUUGGUUGCAGGCGCGCACGUGCAUAAAUUUCGAUAUUUAGGGAAGGAUGUUAAUGAGAGAAGAGAGAGAGAGAGCGUGAAGAGUGCAAGUGAGAAUAAAAAGAAUAUAUAUGUAUAUAUGCCUAUAUAUAUCAGCACACGUAUAUAUACAUAUUCUUUUUAUUCUCACUUGCACUCUUCACGCUCUCUCUAUAUAUAUGAUAAUAUAGUGAGAGAAUGAGAGCUAUAAUGAAAUACAUAUUAGAAAGAUAUAUGACGGAAAUAAAAUGAGAAACGAACAAUGAAAAUUGUACGACGUGUGAGGUGAUUAACGAUAAGUCACGUCGUCUUUUGCGUGUAAAUAGUGUGUAUAUAUGAACCAUCCACUGACUGUACAAUACCACCCAAAUAUAUUUAUAUUUCAUGUUAAACAUCAAA